rnacentral:tRNA from 1 species
GCCUUAUUAGCUCAGUGGUUAGAGCACUGGUCUCGUAAACCAGGGGUCAGGAGUUCAACUCUCUGAUAAAGCU